GAUAAACGCUGGCGGCGUGCCUUAUGCAUGCAAGUCGCACGAGCUCCAGGGCUUCGGCCCUGAAGCUAGUGGCGGACGGGUGAGUAACACGUAUGUAACCUGUCCAGAAGUGGGGAACAACUCGCCGAAAGGCGGGCUAAUACCGCAUAUGGUCGCCGGUGAGAGGCCGGUGGACGAAAGCCUUCGGGCGCUUCUGGAGGGGCGUGCGGCCGAUUAGCUAGUUGGUGGGGUAAUGGCUCACCAAGGCGACGAUCGGUAGCUGGUCUGAGAGGACGGCCAGCCACACGGGGACUGAGACACGGCCCCGACUCCUACGGGAGGCAGCAGCAAGGAAUUUUGCGCAAUGGGCGAAAGCCUGACGCAGCAACGCCGCGUGGGGGAUGAAGGCCUUCGGGUCGUAAACCCCUUUUGCAGGGGAAGCAACUGACGGUACCCUGCGAAUAAGCCACGGCUAACUACGUGCCAGCAGCCGCCGUAACAC
rnacentral:rRNA from 1 species